UUCGGGAGAUUUCAGAGCCUGACCCACCUCCGCGGAUGCCCGGUGCAUAGCCUGGAGAAACGGGGGAGGCACUUUGUGCGUUCUCUAGCCGGCCGUACCAACUGCUGCAAGAG